AUUUCCUUAUCUAUAAAAUAGAGGUGAUGAUAGUGUUUCUACCCCUUAGAGAUGUAGUCAAAUCAACAUAAUACAGGCACUAUGGUUAUAUAGUAAGUGCUCGCUAAAUGAUAGUUGCUUAUAUUAUUCCCUUGCGGUAACAUUACCCAAAGCGUUUUCUUUAAAUUUUGAGUCCCAGAAAUUCUCUGCAAAAAAAGUCAUAUAAUCUUAUAACUCUGAAAAAUAAUCUACUGUAUCCCAAAUUCAUUUGACUGCAGACUUUCUUUUUUCUCCCCAUAUAAGGUAUUUUGAAUUCUUCGUGAAUGCUAAAAUUGAUAGAAUUUAGCUAUUGUGGAACUAUUGCCAUACAUUCUCAAAAUUUAUUUUAAAUGAAAACAGAUAAGCAUGAACCCAAUGUUAUUGCUAUUCAUGUGGUUCUAAACCCUAAUCUUCACAGAAAAAUACUGUUACUCCUUAUGCAAAACUCUGUAUCACAGCCUCUAUGACUUAAAACAGUUUAAUAUGGUAUUACUGAUGACCAUGGAAUAACUUUAUUUUAUGAAAAGAAAGACAUAGCAAAUAUACUUGUGACUACAUAUUUGAAAACGCACUAUAAG
rnacentral:lncRNA from 1 species